rnacentral:rRNA from 1 species
GCCUACGGGGGGCAGCAGUCGAGAAUAAUUCACAAUGGGGGCAACCCUGAUGGUGCAACGCCGCGUGGAGGAUGAAGGUCUUCGGAUUGUAAACUCCUGUCAUCCGGGAGUAAGACCUGGCUGUGAAUAGCAGACAGGGUUGAUAGUACCGGAAGAGGAAGGGACGGCUAACUUCGUGCCAGCAGCCGCGGUAAUACGAAGGUCCCGAGCGUUGUUCGGAAUCACUGGGCGUAAAGGGAGCGUAGGCGGCGUGGUAAGUCAGAUGUGAAAUCCCGGGGCUCAACCCCGGAACUGCAUCCGAUACUGCCGUGCUUUGAGGGUUGGAGAGGUAGCUGGAAUUCUUGGUGUAGCAGUGAAAUGCGUGGAUAUCAAGAGGAACACUCGUGGCGAAAGCGAGCUACUGGACAACACCUGACGCUGAGGCUCGAAGGCCAGGGUAGCGAAAGGGAUUAGAUACCCCGGUAGC